rnacentral:rRNA from 1 species
GAUGAACGCUGGCGGCGUGCCUAAUACAUGCAAGUCGAGCGAACGGACGAGAAGCUUGCUUCUCUGAUGUUAGCGGCGGACGGGUGAGUAACACGUGUAUAACCUACCUAUAAGACUGGGAUAACUUCGGGAAACCGGAGCUAAUACCGGAUAAUAUUUUGAACCGCAUGGUUCAAAAGUGAAAGACGGUCUUGCUGUCACUUAUAGAUGGAUCCGCGCUGCAUUAGCUAGUUGGUAAGGUAACGGCUUACCAAGGCAACGAUGCAUAGCCGACCUGAGAGGGUGAUCGGCCACACUGGAACUGAGACACGGUCCAGACUCCUACGGGAGGCAGCAGUAGGGAAUCUUCCGCAAUGGGCGAAAGCCUGACGGAGCAACGCCGCGUGAGUGAUGAAGGUCUUCGGAUCGUAAAACUCUGUUAUUAGGGAAGAACAUAUGUGUAAGUAACUGUGCACAUCUUGACGGUAUCUAAUCAGAAAGCCACGGCUAACUACGU